rnacentral:rRNA from 1 species
CCCGAGGGUGCCCUCUUUCCUCUUCUUUCCUGGUCUUCCCUCUCGCUUCUUCUUCUCCUUCCUUCCCCUUUUCCCUCCCCUCUCUUCCCUUGGGACUUUCCUUCGAUACUGGUUAGCUAGAGUGUGGGAGAGGAUGGUAGAAUUCCAGGUGUAGCGGUGAAAUGCGUAGAGAUCUGGAGGAAUACCGAUGGCGAAGGCAGCCAUCUGGCCUAACACCGACGCUGAGGUGCGAAAGCAUGGGGAGCAAACAG